rnacentral:lncRNA from 1 species
CGAGAGCUUCUCUGACACAGAAGAAUUCAUGGAUAUUCAGACUUGCCUUGAUGAAGUGAAAAUUAAACUUCAAUCUAACUCAAUACCUAGCUAAAAUCUUGUUAAAGGAAUUAUGAGAUUGUUAGCGAGUUCAACCCAAGUUUUGACCUGAAGUCAAAAUGCUGAAUCUGAUUCUCCCACUGAACUUGUUGCGGCGAAAGGUUCAAUCUUCAACCUGAAGUCAUCAGUGAGUUCAACCCAAGUUUUGACCUGAAUCAUCAUAUACUAGAAUGGCUAUGAAACUUUCUCAAAUCUGUUGAAAGGUUGAUUUUGAGAUGGACGGGAUCUGUAUCUCUAUUGUUUAUUAUGUAUUCUAUUUCUUUGCUAUUG